GGGUUGUGAGGUUAAGCGACUAAGCGUACACGGUGGAUGCCCUGGCAGUCAGAGGCGAUGAAGGGCGUGCUAAUCUGCGAUAAGCGCCGGUAAGGUGAUAUGAACCGUUAUAACCGGCGAUACCCGAAUGGGGAAACCCAGUGUGAUUCGUCACACUAUCAUUAACUGAAUCCAUAGGUUAAUGAGGCGAACCGGGGGAACUGAAACAUCUAAGUACCCCGAGGAAAAGAAAUCAACCGAGAUUCCCCCAGUAGCGGCGAGCGAACGGGGAGGAGCCCAGAGCCUGAAUCAGCAUGUGUGUUAGUGGAAGCGUCUGGAAAGGUGCGCGAUACAGGGUGACAGCCCCGUACACAAAAGCGCAUGUGCUGUGAGCUCGAUGAGUAGGGCGGGACACGUGGUAUCCUGUCUGAAUAUGGGGGGACCAUCCUCCAAGGCUAAAUACUCCUGACUGACCGAUAGUGAACCAGUACCGUGAGGGAAAGGCGAAAAGAACCCCGGCGAGGGGAGUGAAAAAGAACCUGAAACCGUGUACGUACAAGCAGUGGGAGCACCCUUCGGGGUGUGACUGCGUACCUUUUGUAUAAUGGGUCAGCGACUUAUAUUCUGUAGCAAGGUUAACCGUAUAGGGGAGCCGGAGGGAAACCGAGUCUUAACCGGGCGUUAAGUUGCAGGGUAUAGACCCGAAACCCGGUGAUCUAGCCAUGGGCAGGUUGAAGGUUGGGUAACACUAACUGGAGGACCGAACCGACUAAUGUUGAAAAAUUAGCGGAUGACCUGUGGCUGGGGGUGAAAGGCCAAUCAAACCGGGAGAUAGCUGGUUCUCCCCGAAAGCUAUUUAGGUAGCGCCUCGUGAAUUCAUCUCCGGGGGUAGAGCACUGUUUCGGCUAGGGGGCCAUCCCGGCUUACCAACCCGAUGCAAACUGCGAAUACCGGAGAAUGUUAUCACGGGAGACACACGGCGGGUGCUAACGUCCGUCGUGAAGAGGGAAACAACCCAGACCGCCAGCUAAGGUCCCAAAGUCAUGGUUAAGUGGGAAACGAUGUGGGAAGGCCCAGACAGCCAGGAUGUUGGCUUAGAAGCAGCCAUCAUUUAAAGAAAGCGUAAUAGCUCACUGGUCGAGUCGGCCUGCGCGGAAGAUGUAACGGGGCUAAACCAUGCACCGAAGCUGCGGCAGCGAACGUAUCACCCAAGACAACUUUACGGAGUUGACGAUUGACGGAGCGAAGCGACGUCAAAGCGUUCAUUAAAGUCGAGUUGGCUUAGGGAUACGUUCGUUGGGUAGGGGAGCGUUCUGUAAGCCUGUGAAGGUGUGUCGUGAGGCAUGCUGGAGGUAUCAGAAGUGCGAAUGCUGACAUAAGUAACGAUAAAGCGGGUGAAAAGCCCGCUCGCCGGAAGACCAAGGGUUCCUGUCCAACGUUAAUCGGGGCAGGGUGAGUCGACCCCUAAGGCGAGGCCGAAAGGCGUAGUCGAUGGGAAACGGGUUAAUAUUCCCGUACUUGGUGUUACUGCGAAGGGGGGACGGAGAAGGCUAUGUUGGCCGGGCGACGGUUGUCCCGGUUUAAGCGUGUAGGUGUGUGUUCCAGGUAAAUCCGGUUCACUUUAACACUGAGGCGUGACGACGAGGCACUACGGUGCUGAAGCAACAAAUGCCCUGCUUCCAGGAAAAGCCUCUAAGCAUCAGGUAACACGAAAUCGUACCCCAAACCGACACAGGUGGUCAGGUAGAGAAUACCAAGGCGCUUGAGAGAACUCGGGUGAAGGAACUAGGCAAAAUGGUGCCGUAACUUCGGGAGAAGGCACGCUGACACGUAGGUGAAGUGAUUUACUCAUGGAGCUGAAGUCAGUCGAAGAUACCAGCUGGCUGCAACUGUUUAUUAAAAACACAGCACUGUGCAAACACGAAAGUGGACGUAUACGGUGUGACGCCUGCCCGGUGCCGGAAGGUUAAUUGAUGGGGUCAGCGCAAGCGAAGCUCCUGAUCGAAGCCCCGGUAAACGGCGGCCGUAACUAUAACGGUCCUAAGGUAGCGAAAUUCCUUGUCGGGUAAGUUCCGACCUGCACGAAUGGCGUAAUGAUGGCCAGGCUGUCUCCACCCGAGACUCAGUGAAAUUGAACUCGCUGUGAAGAUGCAGUGUACCCGCGGCAAGACGGAAAGACCCCGUGAACCUUUACUAUAGCUUGACACUGAACAUUGAGCCUUGAUGUGUAGGAUAGGUGGGAGGCUUUGAAGUGUGGACGCCAGUCUGCAUGGAGCCGACCUUGAAAUACCACCCUUUAAUGUUUGAUGUUCUAACGUGGACCCGUAAUCCGGGUUGCGGACAGUGUCUGGUGGGUAGUUUGACUGGGGCGGUCUCCUCCUAAAGAGUAACGGAGGAGCACGAAGGUUGGCUAAUCCUGGUCGGACAUCAGGAGGUUAGUGCAAUGGCAUAAGCCAGCUUGACUGCGAGCGUGACGGCGCGAGCAGGUGCGAAAGCAGGUCAUAGUGAUCCGGUGGUUCUGAAUGGAAGGGCCAUCGCUCAACGGAUAAAAGGUACUCCGGGGAUAACAGGCUGAUACCGCCCAAGAGUUCAUAUCGACGGCGGUGUUUGGCACCUCGAUGUCGGCUCAUCACAUCCUGGGGCUGAAGUAGGUCCCAAGGGUAUGGCUGUUCGCCAUUUAAAGUGGUACGCGAGCUGGGUUUAGAACGUCGUGAGACAGUUCGGUCCCUAUCUGCCGUGGGCGCUGGAGAACUGAGGGGGGCUGCUCCUAGUACGAGAGGACCGGAGUGGACGCAUCACUGGUGUUCGGGUUGUCAUGCCAAUGGCACUGCCCGGUAGCUAAAUGCGGAAGAGAUAAGUGCUGAAAGCAUCUAAGCACGAAACUUGCCCCGAGAUGAGUUCUCCCUGAGACUUAGAGUCUCCUGAAGGAACGUUGAAGACGACGACGUUGAUAGGCCGGGUGUGUAAGCGCAGCGAUGCGUUGAGCUAACCGGUACUAAUGAACCGUGAGGCUUAACCUUACAACGCCGAAG
rnacentral:rRNA from 10 species